CAGUCGCCGCGGGAAUACGUAGGUGGCAAGCGUUGUCCGGAAUUAUUGGGCGUAAAGCGCGCGCAGGCGGAUAGGUCAGUCUGUCUUAAAAGUUCGGGGCUUAACCCCGUGAUGGGAUGGAAACUGCCAAUCUAGAGUAUCGGAGAGGAGAGUGGAAUUCCUAGUGUAGCGGUGAAAUGCGUAGAUAUUAGGAAGAACACCAGUGGCGAAGGCGACUUUCUGGACGAAAACUGACGCUGAGGCGCGAAAGCCAGGGGAGCGAACGGGAUUAGAUACCCGGGUAGUCCCUGUCUCUUAUACA
rnacentral:rRNA from 1 species